rnacentral:rRNA from 1 species
AUUGAACGCUGGCGGCAUGCCUUACACAUGCAAGUCGAACGGCAGCACGGGAGCAAUCCUGGUGGCGGGUGGCGAACGGGUGAGUAAUAUAUCGGAACGUGCCCAGUCGUGGGGGAUAACGCAGCGAAAGCUGUGCUAAUACCGCAUACGAUCUACGGAUGAAAGCGGGGGAGCGCAAGACCUCGCGCGAUGGGAGCGGCCGAUAUCAGAUUAGCUAGUUGGUGAGGUAAAGGCUCACCAAGGCGACGAUCUGUGGCUGGUCUGAGAGGACGACCAGCCACACUGGAACUGAGACACGGUCCAGACUCCUACGGGAGGCAGCAGUGGGGAAUUUUGGACAAUGGGCGAAAGCCUGAUCCAGCAAUGCCGCGUGCAGGAUGAAGGCCUUCGGGUUGUAAACUGCUUUUGUACGGAACGAAACGGUGAGCUCUAAUACAGUUUGCUAAUGACGGUACCGUAAGAAUAAGCACCGGCUAACUACGUGCCAGCCGCCGCAGUAA